UCGUCCGGCGGCUCCAUGGCGGGCGCGGCUGGGAACUUCUCGCGGGCGGCCAAGAGGCUCUCGGUGGAGGGAAACAUCGCGGCGGGCAAGUCGACCUUCGUGGGGCUGCUGCGCAAAGCCUUCCCCGCAUGGCGCCUGACUCCCGAGCCGGUGGCCAUGUGGCAGGAGGUCCGAGCCGCCGCCACCGGCCGCCAGGCCUGCCCUUCCCCAGUCUUCGGGAACCUGCUUGAGAUGGUCUACCGAAAGCCUUCCCGCUGGUCCUACACCUUCCAGACCUACUCGUGCCUGAGCCGGCUCAAGGUUCAGCUGGCCGCCCAAAGUCCACGGAGCCCGGAAGCGGUGCUGGUGUUCGAGAGAUCCGUCUACAGCGACAGGUAUAUCUUUGCAAAAAAUCUCUUUGAGAUUGGCCACAUGACUGAGAUUGAGUGGAUCAUUUACCAGGAUUGGCACACCUUCCUCCUGCAAACCUUUGGAGACCAACUUGCCCUCCAUGGCUUCCUUUAUCUCCGGGCCCCUCCAGAGGUCUGCUUUGAGAGGCUGCGCUGCCGAUCCAGGCCCGAAGAAAAGGAGGUUCAGCUAUCUUACCUGGAGCAGCUUCAUGUCCAGCAUGAAAACUGGCUUGCGAAAAAGACUACUCUGAUCCAUUCUGAAGCUUUAAGAGAUGUGCCUGUCUUGAUUCUGGAUGUCACAAAGGAUUUUGAGAAUGAUCCAAAUGAACAAAGGAAGCUUGUAGGCCAGGUGAAAACUUUUAUGAAAACUCUUUGUUCUGAUUCUUUGCCUUCCAUCUCUACAACCGUCUGCAAGUGAAGGGAGUUGGAUUCGGCAUACUGCAACUAAGAGCUGCUUGCUUAAUGCUAAGGAAGCAAUGGGAAUGGUAUGCCUCUUUCCAUCCAGGCAGAUACAAACUCCAGGCAGGUCAGAGAGCCGAGCAAAGGCCUGGCCCCAGUUGGCUUCCAGCCAGCAAUAGCAAGAAGAAGCCUUUUGGAGCCAUCCUGCACCCAAAGGCGGGGGACAUGCCUGGCCCCAGCAGAGGGCCACAGAUGCAUUCCACAGACUCCCUGGGACACUGCAAGAAAGGCCACGCUGACUUCUUGUUCGGUUUUCAUCAGAAGUGACAGCUGGGCAGUUAUUUUCCCUGUGUAUCCUGACAAAACACUACACAUCUUGAAGUUCCUUUUGACUCAAUCUUUGGCUUUUGCUACACUCGGCAGUUGCUUUCUGAUCUAAAUAUUUGCUGAUAUUUAGUUCCACUAUGUGGCUCUCCAGAUAUGCUGGCAUACAUUAGAUAGAACCUUUAUAGAUUCUUCUUCUGUUGCUUGCUGUAUUUUUGUAGAUACAUUGUAAAAUUCCUGUAGUUUUUCAACCACACACUCCAUUGGCCUGAGUGCCUACUGCUUGUGCAAAUGGGGCUGCCCCUGCUGCUCACACAGGACCAUUUCCUCUCCCCCCCCCCAUCAGUCCACAAAGCCAGAAAGCUUGGGGCCACUAGUUUAAGGUGCCACCUGACUCCAAAUGGCCUCUGGGCAUUGCCCUCAACAUAGCAAAAAAAAAAAAAAAAGAUAAAAGCACAACACAAAAUAUGUAAGAUGGAAUCCAGCCACUCAUUACAAAAUAUAUACAAACCCAUCUAUCAUCUAGCACUAUACUGUCAAUCACUUGUCAAUCCCCAUGGUUUUGUUAGUAAAAAUACAGGUUU